GUACAUGGAGGUCUGGCUCCCUUUCCGUCACCUUUAAGUGUACAUGGAGGUCUGGCUCCCUUUCCGUCACCUUUAAGUGUACAUGGAGGUCUGGCUCCCUUUCCGUCACCUUUAAGUGUACAUGGAGGUCUGGCUCCCUUAGUGUUGCACAAUACAUGGGGAUGUCACAUUGUCCAUUCCCCUCGAGAUGACAGGCCCUCAGUCUCCACAAUGACCCAGCGGUCACCAGCCUCAGUACUGGGACUCAGACAAGAGGACCUGACAUAGAAAUGGGCAUGUGUCGUACAGCGAAAACGUCACACGGUGAAAAGCUCACAUUCAGAGCAUGAGAGAGAAAGAGAGAGAGAGGGGGCAGAGAAUGAGACAGAGAGAGAGUGUAGAGCGAAUGAGAGAGAGUAAGAUAGAAGGGGGUAGAGAGAAUGAGAGAAAGAGAGGGAGAGAGAUGAGGGGUAGAGAGAGAGAGAGAGAGAGAGAGAGGGAGAGAAAGAGAAGAGGGGUAGAGAGAGAAGAGCAGUAAAGAGAGAGAUGAGGGGUAGAGAGAGAGAAAGAGAAGUGGGGUAGAGAGAGAGGGGUAGAGAGAGAGAGUGUGAGAGAAGAGGGGUAGAGAGAGAGGGGUAGAGAGAGAGAAAGAGAGAGAAGAGGGAUAGAGAGAGAGAGAAGAGGGGUAGAGAGAGAGAGAUGGGUAGAGAGAGAAAGAGAGAGGAGGGGUAGAGAGAGAAAGAGAGAGAAGAGGGGUAUAGAGAGAGAGAGAAAGAAGAGGGGUAGAGAGAGAGGGGGGUAGAGAGAGAGAGAAGAGGGGGUAGAGAUAGAGGGGGUAGAGAGAGAGAGAGAGAGAGAGAGAGAGAGAGAGAGAGAGAGAGAAGAGGGGGUAGUGAGAAAGAGAGCACCGCAGCAUGAGAUGAAGAGACUCAUUUUGAAUUCAGCACCAGUGGAAAAAAGGCAAUUUUUUAAACGGUUCAUUUGUUUGUUUUUACAUAACUUUUUUUUUUGUAUGACAAAAAGAUCCUCUUUUUAAAAAAUCUACACUGCCCUGCCUGUGAUGGGACCCCCAUGGCAUGUUUUAGAGGGUCUACACAGAGGUCUAUGGCUGCUUACGACCUUGUUGGAGAGCCACGACAGCGCCGUCCCACCCCCCUGUUCUCCCGGUAUAAAAGUUAAACAAGUGUCUUUGGCAGAUUUACAGAAAAGGUCCUCAUCUACUCUGGGACGCUACUGCUAGAAAUUGCAAAGAUGUUAGAGACUGGUCAGAGACACACAAGAAGAGAGAGAGAGAGAGAGAGAGAGAGAGAGAGAGAGAGAGAGAGAGAGAGAGAGAGACUGGUCAGAGACACACAAGAAGAGAGAGAGAGAGAGAGAGAGAGAGAGAGAGAGAGACUGGUCAGAGACACAAGAAGAGAGAGAGGGAAAGACUGGUCAGAGACACACAAGAAGAGAGAGAGAGAGAGAGAGAGAGAGAGAGAGAGAGAGAGAGAGAGAGAGAGAGAGAGAGAGAGAGACUGGUCAGAGACACACAAGAAGAGAGAGAGAGAGAUAAAGAGAAGGUUCACCUAUGAUCUAUCACCGCAGGAGCCAACGUGACAAAGUAAUAUACUACUGUAUAAUACACUGUAACAGAAUGAACAUGUACAAGUGGGACACUAUUGAGCAUAAUCAAAGCACAAAGCCUCAAAGAGAAACGCAAACAGUCCGAAGAUGAAGAUGCAAAUGAGAGGGUCCUUAAGUGGAGAUGACGUCACUGUCGACCAUCCAGACACGUAGGAGGGGAGUUUGUUCUCAGUUCGGUUCAAAACCCCAUCCAUUUCUUGCACAUCCCAGCGCUCCUCUGCAGCUGGGAGGCUGUUUUUGUAAAGACUUUAAGGAACUCCUUCCUGUCUUUAAGGGACUCCUUCUUGUCUUUCCACUACUCCUUCCUGGUCCCCAGGACUACUCCACUUUAUUGCCACCUGGACUUGAGCUGUAGGCCGAGGGUCAGAAGCCAGAGGUCAUGAAGCAAGGGUUACGCUGAGGAGUUGGAGGGUUCUGAGGGAGGGAGGGGCAGUAUGAGUUUACAGUGUCCAGAUGGUGCAUGUCGAGGGGUUGAGGGUGGAGGGGAGUGGACUGAUAUGGGAGGAGGAGAGGACAGGCGUGGGGAGAUGGGGUGUGGAGGAGGCAUGUCUCCUCGCGCGGGGCAGAGGCGGAAGAUUUGACGGGAAGUCGGGUAGGGGCUGUUCCAAAGGGGGUACGGCCGGCGGGCCCAAGAUGCUAUGAUGAGGACAGGAGAAGCGUGAGCAGCAUGGCCAGCAUGAGGGAGAGGCAGGGGGCGGCCACCCAACAGCCACCGGUGCUGUCGUCUGUCAGGAAGGGCUCUGGGGACUCAUACACUGAGUCAUCUGAGAGAGAGAGAGAGAGAGAGAGAGAGGUAGAGAUAGAGGUAGAGAGAGAGAGAGAGAGAGAGAGAGAGAGAGAGAGAGAGGGAGACAGAGAGGUAGAGAGAGAGAGGGAGACAGAGAGAGAGAGACAGAGAGAGCGAGAGAGAGACAAAGAGGUAGAGAGAGAGAGAGACAGACAGAGAGAGACAGAGAGAGAGAGAGAGCGAGAGAGGGAGACAGAGAGGUAGAGAGGUAGAGAGGUAGAGAGAGAGAGAGAGAGAGAGAGAGAGAGAGAGAGAGAGAGAUUAUGCUUCAAACAGGUUGCAAUCUAAUACAGUCAAAUCCUUGUGCAGUUUCAAUCUGGCUAUAUCUGGGCUUUGUCAAAAGCAAACACUGGCAAAGCAUACAUUGACGCCUUUUGGUUCUUUUCUUCCCCGUGACCCAGAUAUGCUCUGUCAAUAGUCAUACAUACACGUGUGAUGUUUACACCUCCCACUUUCACUGUCAUCUCCAAUGUUGACGCCGGCAGAGUGAGAAGCGCUACAUGUUGUUGACAGGUCUGCACUGGGAGAGUCGUCUUGAAGACACGAGUCACACCAAUAGAGACAGCCAAUCAAACAGUGGGCGACGCUGACUCAAGGAGAGUUGAUGUGUGAGGCUGACGGUGUGUUAAAAUGUACUUGGUACUGGCAUAUUUAAUGUUAAAACCACCCAACUCUCUCUCCUUACAGCUGCCAUGAGGAGCUCUAUUUAACAUUACUUUAACAGCUUUCUGAUUUUGGAAUUCCUGACUAAAUAUAUAGGAGUUGGCCGUUUCCAUUCCGC
rnacentral:lncRNA from 1 species